rnacentral:pre_miRNA from 1 species
UCUUCAUUUCCCGUACUCUCUCAUCGGUCAGAGUGACGAGAAAGUGUGAGUGGAAUGAAGAGA